rnacentral:rRNA from 1 species
AUUGAACGCUGGCGGCAUGCUUUACACAUGCAAGUCGAACGGUAACAGGCCGCAAGGUGCUGACGAGCGGCGAACGGGUGAGUAAUGCAUCGGAACGUGCCCAGUCGUGGGGGAUAACUACUCGAAAGAGUAGCUAAUACCGCAUACGAUCUAUGGAUGAAAGCGGGGGACCGUAAGGCCUCACGCGAUUGGAGCGGCCGAUGUCAGAUUAGGUAGUUGGUGGGGUAAAGGCUCACCAAGCCAACGAUCUGUAGCUGGUCUGAGAGGACGACCAGCCACACUGGGACUGAGACACGGCCCAGACUCCUACGGGAGGCAGCAGUGGGGAAUUUUGGACAAUGGGCGCAAGCCUGAUCCAGCAAUGCCGCGUGCAUGAAGAAGGCCUUCGGGUUGUAAACUGCUGUUGUACGGAACGAAACGGCUCUGGUUAAUACCCGGGGCUAAUGACGGUACCGUAAGAAUAAGCACCGGCUAACUACGUG